rnacentral:misc_RNA from 1 species
GAAAUGCGAUAAGUAAUGUGAAUUGCAGAAUUCAGUGAAUCAUCGAAUCUUUGAACGCACAUUGCGCCCCUUGGUAUUCCGAGGGGCAUGCCUGUUCGAGCGUCAUUACAACCCUCAAGCUCUGCUUGGUAUUGGGCUCCGUCUUCACUGCGGACGCGCCUCGAAGACCUCGGCGGUGGCUGUUCGGCCCUCAAGCGUAGUAGAAUACACCUCGCUUUGGAGCGGUCGGCGUCGCCUGCCGGACGAACCUUCUGAACUUUUCUCAAGGUUGACCUCGGAUCAGGUAGGGAUACCCGCUGAACUUAAGC